CCUACGGGGGGCAGCAGUGGGGAAUAUUGGGCAAUGGACGCAAGUCUGACCCAGCAACGCCGCGUGAAGGAAGAAGGCUUUCGGGUUGUUAACUUCUUUUAAUGGGGAAGAGCAGAAGACGGUACCCCUUGAAUAAGCCACGGCUAACUACGUGCCAACAGCCGCGGUAAUACGUAGGUGGCAAGCGUUGUCCGGAUUUACUGGGUGUAAAGGGCGUGCAGCCGGGAAGACAAGUCAGAUGUGAAAUCCAGCGGCUCAACCGCCGAACAGCAUUUGAAACUGUUUUUCUAGAGUAACGGAGAGGUAAUCGGAAUUCGUGGUGUAGCGGUGAAAUGCGGAGAUAUUAGGCAGAACACCGGUGGCGAAGGCGGAUUACUGGACGACAACUGACGGUGAGGCGCGAAAGCGUGGGGAGCGAACAGGAUUAGAUACCCUAGUAGUC
rnacentral:rRNA from 1 species